UACGGAGUUAGCCGAUCCUUAUUCCUUCGGUACAUUCAGCUUCCUACACGUAGAAAGGUUUAUUCCCGAAUAAAAGCGGUUUACAACCCGGAGGGCCGUCUUCCUGCACGCGGCAUGGCUGGUUCAGGCUUGCGCCCAUUGACCAAUAUUCCUUACUGCUGCCUCCCGUAGGAGUCUGGUCCGUGUCUCAGUACCAGUGUGGGGGCCAUCCUCUCAGAUCCCCUAGCCAUCGCGGUCUUGGUGGGCCGUUACCCCGCCAACUAACUAAUGGCACGCAUGCCCAUCCAAACCCCAUGAAUGUUUGACCAUUGCACGAUGCCGUGCUGUGGUUUUAUGCGGUAUUAAUCCGGAUUUCUCCGGGCUAUCCCCCAGGUUUGGGCAGGUUGCAUACGCGUUACGCACCCGUGCGCCGGUCUCAAGGCUGCAAGCAGCCUCUACCCCUCGACUUGCAUGUAUUAGGCCUGCCGCUAGCGUUCAUCCUGAGCCAGGAUCAAACUCU
rnacentral:rRNA from 1 species